UUCCUUUCUUUCUUCCUUCCUUUUUUCCCUUCUUUUCUUUCCUCCCUUCUUCUCUUCACUAAGACCUCCUAUCCCACUGAACAGGAAGGAGGGAACGGGGCUCCGGCCCGACUGCAACCCCCUGCCGAGAGCUGAGAGCGGCUGCGGUCGAGAGCCGUGUACGGAGUCCCUUCUCUAUUUUUUUUUUAAUUUCGGUUCGGAAAUGGGGAACAGGAAAGAGGGCCUCCGUGCCAUGACCGAAGACCGCGGCACGGCAGAUCGACCCAGGUGAGUCGUCUCUCCCCCUCUUUCUUCUUCUUCCUGUUCCUCUUCUUUUCUUUCUUUUCGUUAUCAAAAGAUAAAGGAGCAGGGGUUAGGGUCUACCUUGCUCCGAGGUGGCUGCGAUGUCCCAAGCUCCGGCACCUCCAUCACCGAUUCAAGAGUCUCUGAGGGAGGAGGAAACGAUGAGAGGGUCCUUCAAAUAGGACUCCUAAGCGGUGUGCCGACAGGGAUCUAGGUCGGCCGGCAUCUAUCCUCCCCUCUGCCCGGCAGCUGAACCACCCAUCCUCCUCUUCGAAGCAGGAGGUGGGGGCACCAUUCCCGGGGCUAGGCAGCUGUGGCCUCCUUCCGCCCGGCAGCUAGCUUUCCCCGAAGAAGGAGGUGGCGACCUCCAGAUGGGCUGCCGACAGGGAUCUAGGUCGGCCCAUCUGGCGGCGCAGGCCCAGUUGUCACAAUCUCUACUCUGCAUCCCUUAGCAAUUUUAGUGUAUAAUCAUGUGCAUGUCUAUGUACAUGUACAU
rnacentral:lncRNA from 1 species